GAGGAGGCGCGGAAGGUGGCUGAGAGCGGCCCGAGUCCCGGCUGGCGAAGGAGGCAGCGGCAGCAGCCCGAAUUGGAGGCUCAGCCCCGGCUUUAAAGGAGCCGCGUGCUCGGUUGCAGGCAAGCGUCGCGGAGUGGCCCAGGAAGCGGGGAUAAGGGGGCGUCACGGGGGCAGCAGCGACGGGGCGGGGAAGGGAGUGGAGCUGCCGGCCGGCUGGGAGGAUGAGCAAACGCCCAGCUCUCAAGAAAGCGCUCCUGCAACGUGACCCGAAAACGACCCCGCGAUGGGAGGAGUGAGAAACGAGGAGAGCGUCUCUGAGCAUGUGCAGAGUGCGCCUGCUUCCUCACAUCAGAAGCUGCGCUCGGUCUCCGUAGGGAGCGAGGGCUUGCAUUCCGGUUUAGAAAGGCUGUUUUACGAGAAGGCUAGGGUGAAGCUACAUGAGAGGCGUGUGCUACAGUCCUUUGUCGCUUCCCAGAGAAUUUGAAACAGGUCUCCUUAAGGUGUAAAGAAAAUUGCUAGAGACAGAAGGAGGAAAAGGAACAUUCUGGAAGAAAGGAGUAUAGAGGGCAAAAUUUUAGAAAAGGACUAUGAAAAGAGGAAGUUAAGAAGAAGCCAUUUCUAACAACUCAAGAAAACAGGAAGUUAAGAUGAAGCCAUUUCUAACAACUCAAGAAAAAUAUCCAAAUAUCAUUCUUAGUACUGUAACAGAGCAGAGUUACAUCCAUUGACUUCAAUACAGUUGAAAGAUAAUAAUUCUGUUCAGAAUCACAUUUUAGAGAAGUGUAUUUAGCUGGUAAAACUUUUUAAAAAUUUCUUCAUUUGUUUAAGUUUGCAUAUUGUAACAGUACAUACUUUAUGUAUCCUACUAAUGUUUUAUUGUGGUAUAUUGUUUAUAUUUUAUGACCACUGAAGAAAACAAGAUUGAUCAUGCAUUUCUGA